AGUGAACGCUGGCGGCAGGCCUAACACAUGCAAGUCGAACGGCGGCACAAGAGAGCUUGCUCUCUGGGUGGCGAGUGGCGGACGGGUGAGGAAUGCAUCGGAAUCUGCCCAUUUGUGGGGGAUAACCUCGGGAAACCGGGACUAAUACCGCAUACGACCUACGGGUGAAAGCAGGGGAUCUUCGGACCUUGCGCAGAUGGAUGAGCCGAUGCCGGAUUAGCUAGUUGGAGGGGUAAAGGCCCACCAAGGCGACGAUCCGUAGCUGGUCUGAGAGGAUGAUCGGCCACACUGGGAGUGAGACACGGCCCCGACUCCUACGGGAGGCAGCAGUGGGGAAUAUUGGACAACGGGCGCAAGCCUGAUCCAGCCAUGCCGCGUGUGUGAAGAAGGCCUUCGGGUUGUAAAGCACUUUUGUUGGGAAAGAAAAGCAGCCGGUUAAUACCCGGUUGUCAUGACGGUACCCAAAGAAUAAGCACCGGCUAACUUCGUG
rnacentral:rRNA from 1 species